rnacentral:lncRNA from 1 species
CUUCCACCUAAUGUGAGGGAGAAGAGGAAAGAACAAUGUGCAGCCAUAUUGGAGAAUAUUAUAUUGGUGACCUGCCUGCACGCGAGUUCUGGGACCAUCUGCCUCCUUUUUUCUUUGACUGCACCUCCUUAAUUCCACACUAUCGCCGCCAUUUUGUCUGAGAAGAAUAAUAAUUACUUGACGCACGACUGUGACACUGCGAUACUUAUUCUAUCCUCCUUUUCUCUUCUUGAAUAUCCUUACGUCACACGACCAAUAAGACUACAUAGACGCUGGAUAGCUAAAAUGACGAGGAUUCAUGAGUAGUAGUAAUGUUUCUAACGUGCUUAAUAGUUCUGUGUUCAGGUGCUUUGUUACAACCAGCGUCCAUGGAUUCGGAAGGAAACUAUUUGGGACAUGGUGGAAGAGGCCUGUUAUCUUCCUUACAAUACGUCUCAGUAUGGCUUGAGACUUGUUUAGGUCUGGAUUUAUUACAUUCCCCUUCGUCUGAGUAUACAAAGUUCAACAAGGUUUUAUACUUCUAACUCCCUCGUAGAGCCUGAUUCUUACUCUUUGUCUUUCACAGACUUACUUAAAUUUGUUUUCUUUAAGAACUAAAUACUAAUAAAAACAGCUUUUUUGUAGGCAAGACAAAUUAAUUAUAGUACUUUGUAAUUUAAAAUAUUAAUUUUUAGUUAGAUAUGUUGAAAAAAUAAUAGGUAUUUAUUAUAUCUUGUGAUGAGAAAGUAGAAUUAAAUUAUAUAGAAAACUAUUAGACAUAAUUGUAUGUCUUAAUAAUAAAUAUUUUCCAA